CCCUACGGGGGGCAGCAGUAGGGAAUUUUCGUCAAUGGGCGCAAGCCUGAACGAGCAAUGCCGCGUGAACGAGGAAGGUCUUCGGAUCGUAAAGUUCUGUUGAAGGGGAAAAAGAGCGGAGAGAGGAAAUGGUCUCCGAUUGAUAUUACCCUUCGAGGAAGUCACGGCUAACUACGUGCCAGCAGCCGCGGUAAUACGUAGGUGGCGAGCGUUAUCCGGAAUGAUUGGGCGUAAAGGGUGCGCAGGCGGCCUGCUAAGUCUGGAGUGAAAGGUACCGGCUCAACCGGGACCGGCUCUGGAAACUG
rnacentral:rRNA from 1 species